GUGGGGAAUCUUGCGCAAUGGGCGAAAGCCUGACGCAGCCAUGCCGCGUGAAUGAUGAAGGUCUUAGGAUUGUAAAAUUCUUUCACCGGGGACGAUAAUGACGGUACCCGGAAAAGAAGCUCCGGCUAACUUCGUGCCAGCAGCCGCGGUAAUACGAAGGGGGCUAGCGUUGCUCGGAAUUACUGGGCGUAAAGGGCGCGUAGGCGGACAGCUUAGUCAGAGGUGAAAGCCCAGGGCUCAACCUUGGAAUUGCCUUUGAUACUGGCUGUCUUGAGUUUGGGAGAGGUGAGUGGAACUCCGAGUGUAGAGGUGAAAUUCGUAGAUAUUCGGAAGAACACCAGUGGCGAAGGCGACUCACUGGCCCAAUACUGACGCUGAGGCGCGAAAGCGUGGGGAGCAAACAGGAUUAGAAACCCGAGUAGUCC
rnacentral:rRNA from 1 species